UUUCCUCCAAGGCCCGCCCAGAGCUGCGCUUGUCACUCAACGCCAACACGCGCGUCACGUGACCCGAGCUGAGGGCCCCAUCUUCAGAGCCACGCCUCUAAUGGCUUGAGUAGUCCAUGGAGGGUUGCCUUCUGAAAGGGGUUGACGCAGAAACUACCUCCUGUUGAUUAUAGCUUGUCAUUCCUCUAGAAUGACGGACGCAGUUCCUAUGCCUAAUGUAUGCAAAUAAAACCAUCCGCAAAAUGAUACUCCCAUCUGGGAUUCUAUAGGACUGUUCCUGAGAAAAGCCUGCCUGAUGUUUUCACCACCUCCAGGCAGAGUUCAAUAAAAACGAACUUAGCCAAAUGCCUGACAGGUAGUAAGUGCUCAAGAAACAGUUGACUGGACGACUGCUCCAUUUCUUCUCUGCAUAUCUGAACACUCAAGCACCGGAAGGCACCUAAACCCAGAGCCUCUCCAGACCAUAUGACAUCAGUCAAAGACUCUGCUUGAGAAUUAUUUUUGUUCUUGGCCUCAGCUCCGGAUCACAGCAACUUAUAUAUGCCAUCUCUGUUUCAGAGACAGUUUAUUUUCAGCUGCCAAGCCACUUUUUUCCAAGCCUUCAGUCAAAUAAUUUCUCCUGAAGAAAAAGAAAAGAGAAUGACAUAACUGUCAGGGUUUUAUUUCAAAAGAAGUGUGGUUAUAUAGAUUUUUUGUGUGUGUUCAUAUCAAAGUGUCAAUAACUAUUAAAGAGGAACAGUCAACUAGCAAGUCACUUGUCAAUGAUUCUUCCAUCUUUGACAUGGGAGAGAUUUGAAGAACAUUUAUUUAGCAAUUUUUUUAUUAAAUGUCUACUUGGCUUACUGGAGUAAGUUGUGGCAAUCUGAGAAUGGACCAGAUUUCAUUCAAGAUGUUUGCCUUCAAGGAGUUUAUAGUCUAGUGGGAAAAAUAAACAAGUAAAAUCUGGGAACUUUGAGCAUAAAUCUCUGGAGCAUUCAUAGUCAUUGUAUAACAGGAAUUCUUUAACAUUUUGGAUGUUAUUUUCUCAUCUUUCCACUGAACAAAAUUGACUCAAGCCUUUAAUAAUCUCUGCUAUGUACUUGCAGUGGAAAAUGUCAACAAGUAAUCCUAACAAUUCUCCAGGAAGUGGAGGCUCAGGUGGUUAAUGAGUAGUCCCAAUAUUGAGCUCAAAAGUCGGUCUUCUACAUCCAUUUUUUCUGUCGUGUGUUUCUAUCAUGAACACGUUUCCAUUAUAGCAGACUGAUGCUUUCUUACCCAAAUUUAUUCACCUAUCUACUAGACCACGAAGUCAAAGACCACUUUUCAUUUGUAUAUCUGCCCAUCACCCUAAUAGAUUGUGACCUUUUGAGAUGAGAAACAUGGUUCCUGCCCUCAAGAGGAUCAAAUUUGGAGAAAAAGGUAGAUAAUGAUAUCAAAUAGGGUGAGAACAAGCACUGAAAUCAAGUUUAUUGUUAAAAUGUGGAGGAGGAGCACCUCAUUCAACCUGCGUUCAACAAAAGUACUUCUCAAAAAUGUCAAGCUCAAGAUGAGUAUUGAAGAACCAGUAGGAAUUGGCCAAGCUAAGAAGAGACAAAGAGUGCUCCAUACACAGGCACGUAUACCUUUGUAUGUAUCUCCUUGCCUAUGAACUGUAGAGUUUAUAUGCAGUUGCAGUCAUCCACAGAGAUGAGAUGGAUGUCCACCUAAAAGCUGGUCCACAUUUCAAGACUUCUGAUGCCACACAUGCACCAAGAGGAUGUAAGAAGAUUUAUUGGUCAUGUAAUGAGACUUUCCAGGAAGAGCAGGUAAAACUCAUUACAAGUAUUCUGGAUCCAUUUUUGGCUAAGUGAAGAGGAAAGUUUUACCAGCUGAUGGCCGUUUGAUGACCUACAUGGAAAGAACUGGUAGACUCAGGAGAGCACAAUUGAGAGAAGUGAUCACAUCACAAAAUGUGACAUCAUUCUUUGGCACCAGCUGGCAUCCUGGACAUGGAGAGUGAAUGGCACCCUUCCUUGGAUUCUAGUGCUGUUGCUGAGAUUAGCCAUUCUUGCAUCUCAAAAGGAAGAUGUUAAAAGAAGAGUUAGCCAACUGUGUUCCUGGUGCUGUGCCAGCAGGAAGUUCCCUUUGAAUGGUGCUGCAAACAUAAUAGCAGUGUGCUGACUCCAGCAACAAUGUAAAAAACAGAAAGAGAACAAGGAGGAGGAAGAGAAGGGGGAGGAAGAAAGAGAAGAGAGAAGAGAAAAAGAGAAAAGAAGUGGAAAAGAGGAAGAGGGAAAGAAAGCUCACCUUCAUUUACCUCUGUUCACACUCAAACCUCUUGAUAGUAACCAACCUUGAUGUUGUCACUGACUCCUCUCCUUUCCACUUGUGAAUCCAUUGCAAUCUGGCUUCUCCCUCCUUCAUUCAGAAAAUUGUCUUGUGAUGGUCUCCAAAGGCCCUGGGGCUGCAAAAUUUAACAGGCACUGGUCAAUUAUUAUUGCAACAAAUUUUUCCUAGAAUUCAAAAUAUUUACCAAACUCCAUUUGAAGUGCUUGCCUUUCUUUAUGUAGUGGUUACUUCAUCACCUUCUAUCUCUAUUUGCUCUAUUUCCUUCCCCCUCCUUGGCUUCUUUUUUCUACAUUAGGUCCUUUCACACCCUGGUUUUCCUCUAAGAUUCUGUCCUUGCUCAUGUCUGUUCUCUAUAUACUCCUCAUGGCACACUUAUCCAUUCCUGUAAUACCAGGUACCAUGUAUUUAUGACUCGACUUUUUAUCUUCAGCACAGACCAUUCCCUUGAACUCCAGAUUUGUGUUUCUAGGCUCCUACCAGACACGUUUAGUAGAUAUAUCACCAACACCUUAAACUUAUCCAACAUUAAAUCCCCUUUAUGUUCUUUCCAAUUCUCCACUUGGUUUGAUUUUAGUGUCCAAGUCAGAAGCUUUAGGAUCACUUCCUCUUUGUUACUCACUUACCCAGUAGGUCAUUAAGUCUGAGUCUAUGGAUAUCUCUAGAAUCCACUCCAUGACCACAAUUUCUGUCUUUCUUCAGACUCUCAUCAUUUCUAACCUAUCCUGUUGCACUAGCCUCCGACCAGACCUCCCUGCCUACAGGCUUUCCCAUCUUCCUUUCCUCCUGAAUCUGUAUUCUACACUAUUGCCUCUGGUACCUAAAGUACAAAACUAAUCGGGACACUUCUCUGAUUAACACCUUUCAAUGACUUUUUACCCCUAUCAGCUCCUUUCCUUGAUAAACAUAAAAGGUCCUUGACAGUCUGGCUUCUCCCCCCCUUUAUGAUUGUGUCUCCCUACUUUCCCUAACUCACUGCCUCUGGUUCAGCCUUAACUGUUUUUUGCAGUUUCCCAAACAUGCCAGGCUAUUUCACAUCUCCAAGGUUUCGGAGAGUCUGAUGCAUUUGCCUGAAAUGCUCUUCCCCUCUCAGGCACCUGGCAAAUUCCUGUUCAGUAUUUGAAAAUUCCAUGAACAUCACCCCCACCCCCACCCCACAUACAUGUGCAUCUUCCUAUUACUUUUUUCAUCCAUAAGCAUGGAGGUAUACCUCUCUAUUAGCAUUUUUCUCACUGUGUCAUAGUUUAUAACAUGGGGGGGGGGGUCUCCAUGAAUCCUUGAGGUCCCUGAGAAAUGUCUUUAUUUCAGUUUAAACUAUGUCUGGCGUGUAAUACAUGCUGAAUGCAUGUUGGUUGAGUGAAUAAUAAAUAAAUACAGACAGUAUUAGAACA